GACGAACGCUGGCGGCGUGCUUAACACAUGCAAGUCGAACGGUGAAGCCCUUUCCUUUUGGUGUGCGUGGAUGAGUGGCGAACGGGUGAGUAACACGUGAGUAACCUUCGCCCUUCUUCUGGAUAACCGCAUGAAAGUCUGACACAUAAGGGGUAUUCUUUCCCUGCUGCAUGGGGGGUAUGGUAACGAUGCGCUUUUGGGGGUUUGUGGUGUGGGAUGGGGUCGCGGGCUAUGAGCUUGUUGGUGGUUUGGUGGGCUACCAAGGCGGUGACGGGUAGCCGGCCGGAGAGGGGGGGCGGUCACAGUGUGACUGGGACAAGGGGCAGAGUGCUACGGGAGGCAGUCGUGGGGAAGACUGCAGAGUGGGCGCAAGCCUGAUGCAGCGACGCCGCGUGAGGGAUGGAGGCGUUCGGGUUGUAAACCUUCUGCGCGAGUGAAGCAGGCCUGUGCCUUGUAGGUGGAUUGACGGUAGCUGGAAAAGAAGCGCCGGCUAACUACGUG
rnacentral:rRNA from 1 species